CAGAUUUCAGUGUGUUUCUCUUAAUUCUAGUACUAAAUUUGUACUGGGCGCUGGCGAAGGGCCUGGCUCCGCCACGCGCGGCCCUCUCGAACUGCCCGUGGGUACGGCGCGCGCUGCUGCCCUGUGUGGCCUGUGCGGGGAACCCGAGGGCCGAAGUGGGCCCCGCCGCAGCACAGGGGGACAAGAGAACCAGGAGCGGGCUGCCUGGGGGCAGAUUCGAACCCGUGCUCCCAGCGGAUAGAAGUAGCACUUGGGGACUCCUAAAAUAUUCAGCCCAAUCCUGAUUCCAGCUGCCCUCUCUAGGCACCUUUCCUCUACCCUUCUUCCAGUUUACAAUUCUGGUGAGUAGAUGUUUCUCUAUCUCUUCUCUUCCAACUCCUGCGCCCAGAGCCAGGAGGACUUCUGGAGCCCGCCCAGCAAGACCCUCUCUCUCCCAUCUUCUGCUCAAGGGCUCGAGGUCUCAGUGGACAGAGCUGAAGAAAAGCCGUCUAUGGAGCCUGCGCCAGGCGCAGACUGGGUCGUCGCAGUCUGGGUCGUCGCAGUCUGGGCCGGGGCGCUGGAAGUCUUACUCACUUCUCAAGAACCCGCAAGGGAUCAGGCCUGACCCUUUGCAAGUGACAGAAUCCAAAGCUUUGAGCUCAUGGGAAAGUGGCUGGAAAGAAGGUCACUGUAGGGCCGCACAGGUCUCUGGCGAGGCUACCCAAGAACAUUUAAAUCCCUGCCCAGAGAAGAAGAGGCUCCAGCUGUCCUGCACCUUCCUGGGAACUGGCAGUCCCUCCGCGCAGGGGUUCUGCAGCGACCGGCAGCGCGAGGAGACAAGGAUGGUGGCCAGUUAACAGAAAAUCAAGGCAGCGGGAAAGGUCUGGAAAACACCACCUACUAUCACCUCUGGAGCCUGGGAUUAUGGGAUAAGUUUUCGAUUUUUAAAUGUAUUGUCAAAUAGCUAAAGUACACGGAAAGUGCGAAAUAAUAGUAAAUUGAACACCUGUGUAUUCACCACACAGCUUAAGCAAUAACAUUAGCAAUAUUUGGGUACCCA
rnacentral:lncRNA from 10 species